rnacentral:rRNA from 1 species
AGAGUUUGAUCAUGGCUCAGAUUGAACGCUGGCGGCAUGCCUUACACAUGCAAGUCGAACGGUAACAGGUCUUCGGAUGCUGACGAGUGGCGAACGGGUGAGUAAUACAUCGGAACGUGCCCGAUCGUGGGGGAUAACGAGGCGAAAGCUUUGCUAAUACCGCAUACGAUCUACGGAUGAAAGCGGGGGAUCUUCGGACCUCGCGCGGACGGAGCGGCCGAUGGCAGAUUAGGUAGUUGGUGGGAUAAAAGCUUACCAAGCCGACGAUCUGUAGCUGGUCUGAGAGGAUGAUCAGCCACACUGGGACUGAGACACGGCCCAGACUCCUACGGGAGGCAGCAGUGGGGAAUUUUGGACAAUGGGCGAAAGCCUGAUCCAGCCAUGCCGCGUGCAGGAUGAAGGCCUUCGGGUUGUAAACUGCUUUUGUACGGAACGAAAAGCCUCUUUCUAAUAAAGGGGGGUCAUGACGGUACCGUAAGAAUAAGCACCGGCUAACUACGUGCCAGCAGCCGCGGUAAUACGUAGGGUGCAAGCGUUAAUCGGAAUUACUGGGCGUAAAGCGUGCGCAGGCGGUUUUGUAAGACAGAGGUGAAAUCCCCGGGCUCAACCUGGGAACUGCCUUUGUGACUGCAAGGCUGGAGUGCGGCAGAGGGGGAUGGAAUUCCGCGUGUAGCAGUGAAAUGCGUAGAUAUGCGGAGGAACACCGAUGGCGAAGGCAAUCCCCUGGGCCUGCACUGACGCUCAUGCACGAAAGCGUGGGGAGCAAACAGGAUUAGAUACCCCGGUAGU